rnacentral:rRNA from 1 species
CCUACGGGAGGCAGCAGUGGGGAAUCUUGCACAAUGGGGGAAACCCUGAUGCAGCGACGCCGCGUGAGCGAUGAAGCCCUUCGGGGUGUAAAGCUCUUUCGACCCGGAAGAUAAUGACGGUACGGGGAGAAGAAGCUGCGGCUAACUACGUGCCAGCAGCCGCGGUAAUACGUAGGCAGCGAGCGUUGUUCGGAGUUACUGGGCGUAAAGCGUGCGUAGGCGGUGCCCUAAGUCUGGUGUGAAAUCUCCCGGCUCAACUGGGAGGGUGCGCCGGAGACUGGGGUGCUGGAGUGUGGGAGAGGUAAGCGGAAUUCCUGGUGUAGCGGUGAAAUGCGUAGAUAUCAGGAGGAACACCUGCGGUGUAGACGGCUUACUGGACCACGACUGACGCUGAGGCACGAAAGCGUGGGUAGCAAACAGGAUUAGAUACCCUUGUAGUC